AUCCCAUCAGCACACCGACUUCACACCUUGAAGUUCCAGUGUCACUCUUCGUCUUGAGUCGCCAUCGUCAUCAUGAAGGACCUGUUGAUGCUGCUCAUGCUCGCGACUGCCAUGAUGGCGGUCCAAGCUUGCAAGGAAAAAGGUGAAUGCCACGACUUGAUCAAGACCGUGAUGCAUAAGGAAAACAUGACGGACACUAUAAAGACUUGUAUGCUAGAAAAUGAAAUUAUGCCUAACCUGAA
rnacentral:lncRNA from 1 species